rnacentral:rRNA from 1 species
CAACUUCGGUUAUAAGAUCCCUCAAAGAUGAUGAGGUUAAUAGGUUCGAGGUGGAAGCAUAGCGAUAUGUGGAGCUGACGAAUACUAAUCGAUCGAAGACUUAAUCAAAUU